CCCAGUUAAAACCCAAGGCUGGGGCUUGCGGCUGGGUGCUGUUGGAGCUCCCCAGGACAGAAGGCACAGUUAUGGAGAGGGUGUUCUCCUGGUACCAGGCUUCAGGAUCCACUCACAGGAAUGGGAUCUCUCAAGCGUCAAGACUUGGCGCCGGAUACAUUUGUCAGUCAGCUCCUGUCUUUUUGAUGGAAUUGUACACUAGAGAGGAUCACGUGACCAGAUACAUGAAUCAGUGGCACAGUGAGUGUGGACUUCCAGGAAAUGUCUUUGAAGGGUAAAAGUGUGCCUUUCUCAUUACCCUUUCCUACUGGAAAAAAUGAUCCAGCUGGCCUAGAAGAGCCAUCUUGGUCCCUGAUGUGGGAAUGGCAUGCUGCAGAGGUCCAGCAGCCAGCUGCAAGCAGCUGGGACUCCCGAUGACUCACACAGACUGACCCUUGAAGCUUUCAUA